AUCAUAUAUCAAGAGAGGAGAGUCUUCGGACUUCUGCCUCGUUUUGACUGUGUCGGGUCGUAGGCAGCACGCAAUAUCUCGGCGUAUCACUCACUCGCCUCAUCAUCUUUUUGGAGCGGAGCGAAUAUAUGGCCGCCCGUCGACCUUCGCUUGUUUUCUGGAAUCACUGCCAUGAAACGAAACCGUUGUUUGGGAAAUCCGUCUUUCGUUUUUCUCUCUCUUGGGUUUCGCGGAGAAGCUGAGCGCGCGGACGCGAGCCCGACCGAUCCUGGAGGAUUGUGGACGGUCGGUGACUCACGCGCCAGCCUCGAUGCGGAAGAAAAAGUGACGAGAAGAAAGUUCAGGAUUGAAGAAACGUGUUUCCUCUUGGCGUUGGAAGUGGGCCGGAAAAGUGGAGAAGCGAGAAGGAACCGGCGCGUGGCUCGGGUUUUGCGAGUCUUCAUGGUGGUGCUGGUGGCGAGAGAGAGAUACGGAGAUGCGUCGUAGCCAUACCGUCAGUCUAAGACCUUCGCGUCCCCGAUGAAUACUGGACCCAUCCAGUAGGGGAAAUGCCGUUGGAUUUGUGGGUGCCCACCCCAGGGUAAACGAACGCCCCCCCGGCCCGUAAAAAGCGCAUUCGGAACUAGCGAGCGAAGAAGGAAGGAGGGACCGCGAGGAAUACGGUUCUUGUCUUCUCCGCUUCGUUUCUGGUGGUUGCGGUUUUUUGUUUUGCUGGGAGCGUUACGUUGUGUGGGAAGGGCCGUUCACAAAGAGAAAUCCGAUCUCUCCGGCGGCGCGCACACCUUCUUCGAGUUGGGUGAAGGAGCGCGACGCGGGGAAAGAGAGAGAGGAUGACCGAAAAACCAAUCUUG
rnacentral:misc_RNA from 1 species